AGGGGUACCCGGGGGAGACUGUGGCAGCCCGCCGAGGGCGGGCAGGGAGCGGGAUGCACGCCCUGUCGAGGCGGGACGGGCCGCUCAGGAGAGCUGCGCACUGCCCGCCGGUCGUCUCCCGUCACUGAGGGACGGCGCGGUGCCUGCCAGGCUUCGCGGCGAGCGCCUUCAGUGUUCUCAGUGUUGGUACAGCCUCUUUGCUUGCUCAGAGGGCUAAAAGGUCUCAUCUGCUGUUCGAAGAAUGGAAUUGAGUGUGAAACAGCUCAGCCACAGCCACACAGUGAAAACUGAAGUUAACUUGCAAGAAGGUAUCAGCACCACUGGGCUCAGUGAUCCUCAGCAAUGUUCCUUUUAUUGGGAGCUGAAUUAAGCCACCACCCACACAAAACAAAAGGACCCUUUGGAAUGUCAACAGCAUCACUGGCAAUUGUGGGAAGGAGGAAUAAUGUGACUCUGCUUUCAGCACACUUGAGAUCACAGUUUGGGCAAGUUUUGUAUCUUGGAUAUGUGCAGUCCUGCUGAACAGAUUGGUAUCAAUCAUAAUGCUGCAGACAUGUUUGUGGAAGAGAUCAUCGGGGGGAAAUAGGGAGAGAACAACUCAGAGGAGGAAGAAGAGCUGGAAAGAACGCUAGGGAGCGUCCACACAGAGCCUUCAAUAGCAUAACUGUUACCAGCUACUUGUGAACUAGAAUGUCUCCCCAGCAAUUCUCCUGGACAGCAGCACUGUAAAGCAGCCCUGCAGGCAGCAGCACGCAGGUACAUGAUGCAACACACGCAAACGUCCACUAAGGAGAAAAUUCUAGCUCUGAAAAAUAACAGGUAUAGCAAUCUCCAUGUGAUAUUUCUUACUUUGCCUGCAUAAAUUCAGAACUAAGUAAAUCUUGUUCAUUCCUGUAUUUGUUUUUCCAGUUUAUUGUUUUCCAAGCAAUAAAUGAGUAGCACUCUGUUCACAUAA